ACUCCUACGGGAGGCAGCAGUGAGGAAUAUUGGUCAAUGGAGGGAACUCUGAACCAGCCAUCCCGCGUGUAGGAAGACGGCCUUAUGGGUUGUAAACUACUUUUAUACAGGAAGAAACGUACCCUCGUGAGGGUGCCUGACGGUACCUGUAGGAAUAAGCACCGGCUAACUCCGUGCCAGCAGCCGCGGUAAUACGGAGGGUGCGAGCGUUAUCCGGAUUUAUUGGGUUUAAAGGGUCCGUAGGCGGAUUAAUAAGUCAGUGGUGAAAUCCCAUCGCUUAACGAUGGAACUGCCAUUGAUACUGUUAGUCUUGAAUGAGGGUGCAGUGGUUGGAAUGUGUAGUGUAGCGGUGAAAUGCAUAGAUAUUACACAGAACACCGAUUGCGAAGGCAGAUCACUAACCCUAAAUUGACCGCAUGAGGGACGAAAGCGUGGGGAGCGAACAGGAUUAGAUACCCUGGUAGCGAGUAG
rnacentral:rRNA from 1 species